UGGGGAAUAUUGGACAAUGGGCGAAAGCCUGAUCCAGCCAUGCCGCGUGUGUGAAGAAGGUCUUCGGAUUGUAAAGCACUUUAAGUUGGGAGGAAGGGCAGUUACCUAAUACGUAUCUGUUUUGACGUUACCGACAGAAUAAGCACCGGCUAACUCUGUGCCAGCAGCCGCGGUAAUACAGAGGGUGCAAGCGUUAAUCGGAAUUACUGGGCGUAAAGCGCGCGUAGGUGGUUUGUUAAGUUGGAUGUGAAAUCCCCGGGCUCAACCUGGGAACUGCAUUCAAAACUGACAAGCUAGAGUAUGGUAGAGGGUGGUGGAAUUUCCUGUGUAGCGGUGAAAUGCGUAGAUAUAGGAAGGAACACCAGUGGCGAAGGCGACCACCUGGACUGAUACUGACACUGAGGUGCGAAAGCGUGGGGAGCAAACAGGAUUAGAUACCCCAGUAGUCCCUGAGCGGGCUGGCAAGGCGCAU
rnacentral:rRNA from 1 species